rnacentral:ncRNA from 2 species
UAAUCUGACGCGGGGAGCUGGAAACGGCUGAGAGGAAGCGCUGAGCUUCGACCCGGGACCUGAAUUGGAUAAUGCCAACGGAGGGAUGUAAGAUGCGCGAACG